rnacentral:sRNA from 1 species
UGCCAAAUAUUAAAAAAAAAAGUAUAUCGGCUGAUCGCUUGGCUUAACCUUAUUCAGUGAAUCCUGCAUAGUAUGCAUGUCUACCUAAACUAAGGAACCACUCUAUCGAACACAGUUGGCAAUUCAACGGGUGAUACUUGGGGAUCUGGUGAUUUAAAUGGUUUUUUUUUUUCUUUUAUAUCUUUUUCUUUUAUUUUUUUAGCUCAGCAUUAAAAAAGUCCCAGUCUCACAGAAAAAAUGCUAAAGUCUGCUUUUCUGGCCGGGGACCAAUUCCAAAUUUAAAUAGGUGGCCCUGACAAGAGCCCAAGAGGCCUUGAGUGCAUAUAAUACACCACCGAUCUUGAUGAAGGUUUAAAUUCAUAAAAUAUUCACUUAACUCUCCCUCCCAUUAAGUAACGAUGUUUUUGAUAUGCCUUGCCCAAGGAAUGGGGAACUAUAGUACUGUGCGACUUUAAAUUAAUAUGCGUACCUAUACAAACUUGUUUCAAUACAUUCAAAUGAAAUUAAAUCAAUUAUACAUUUAUUAUUGCUACACUGUAAAACAAUGUAUAUCACUUAAAAUUAUAAAAUACCAUAAAAUCAUUACUUAAUCGUAUAUGAGUACAA